rnacentral:rRNA from 5 species
UCUGGUGACUAUAGCAAGGAGGUCACACCUGUUCCCAUGCCGAACACAGAAGUUAAGCUCCUUAGCGUCGAUGGUAGUCG